UGGAGAUUUCUCUCCACAAAGUAUAAGAUCCAUAGAUUUCAAACUGGAAGAGAUGGAUAUCAACAAAUCCAUUUCCUUCAUCUGAGGAAACUGAGGUUCAGAAAAUGAAGAGGCUUGCCCACAGACAACUAGGACCUUAAACUUGUGCAGAACACUGAAGAGGAAAACAGAAUCUCUGUGACUGAGGGACAGCCUGACCUGGAGAAGAGUCUCAGCCAAGGGAGGAGAGGCCAGUCAUAAUCUGGGAGAUUGAUGUCUAGACUAACAAGUUUGCCUCUACCAGAAAAGCUCCUGGACCCUCCCAUGCCCUCUCUCCACUACCUGCUCCCUCUCCAGGGGCCACAACCUAGGCUGAAUCCAAAGACCAUCUCUCCUCCCCUGCAGGGGGUGUGGGACCCAGCCCAGGGAGGGCUCUCUUCAGGAAGAAAUGGUCAUGCAUUGAUAACAGGGGAAGUUCUGGGGAGCCACUGGUGAAGAGAAGUGGUUGAGGGCAGGGAGGGAUCUUAGGAUUUUAGGAUUUACAACUGGAAGUGACUUUGUUUUUGUUUUGUUUUUAAUUAGAUGAUUUAGAAUAUUU